GUCAAACCAAUACAUAUAAGUAGCGUGGUGAAUGCGUCUCGCUUCUCGUCUCGGGUCAGAUCUCCAAGUAGAAUACAAAGGAUGCGGGGACGACACCUGAAGGAUUUCGUAAUAAAGGGCUUUUCAUAUGUCUCAGUAUCAGGCAAAAUGGUUGACCAUCGCACACAGAGCUGACAGAUGAUGUUUGUUACCGCUGAAGUAUUUUAUACAUAAGUAAGUAUACUUAAAUAUCAUUUUUAUAUUACGCUUCGUAUUUGUUUUUUUAUAUAACUAGGUCGGCAAACAAGCGUACGGCUCACCUGAUGGUAAGCGAUUACCGUAGCUUAUAG
rnacentral:misc_RNA from 1 species